rnacentral:rRNA from 1 species
AUUGAACGCUUGCGGCAUGCUUAACACAUGCAAGUCGAACGAGUGGCGGACUGGUGAGUAAUGUCUGUGCAACUGCCUGAUGGCGGGGGAUAACUACUUGCAACGGUAUCUAAUACCGCAUAACAUCGGUGUCCCCCAUAUGGGAGUAGCUAGUUGGUGGGGUAAAGGCUCACCUAGGCGACGAUCCCUAGCGGGUCUGAGAGGAUGACCAGCCACACGGGAACUGAGACACGGUCCAGACGCCUACGGGAGGCAGCAGUGGGGAAUAUUGCACAAUGGGCGCAAGCCUGAUGCAGCCAUGCCGCGUGUAUGAAGAAGGCCUUCGGGUUGUAAAGUACUUUCAGCGGGGAGGCGUUACCCGCAGAAGAAGCACCGGCUAACUCCGUGCCAGCAGCCGCGGUAAUAC